rnacentral:rRNA from 1 species
GAAACAGGUGCUAAUACCGUAUAACACUAUUUUCCGCAUGGAAGAAAGUUGAAAGGCGCUUUUGCGUCACUGAUGGAUGGACCCGCGGUGCAUUAGCUAGUUGGUGAGGUAACGGCUCACCAAGGCCACGAUGCAUAGCCGACCUGAGAGGGUGAUCGGCCACACUGGGACUGAGACACGGCCCAGACUCCUACGGGAGGCAGCAGUAGGGAAUCUUCGGCAAUGGACGAAAGUCUGACCGAGCAACGCCGCGUGAGUGAAGAAGGUUUUCGGAUCGUAAAACUCUGUUGUUAGAGAAGAACAAGGAUGAGAGUAAAAUGUUCAUCCCUUGACGGUAUCUAACCAGAAAGCCACGGCUAACUACGUGCCAGCAGCCGCGGUAAUACGUAGGUGGCAAGCGUUGUCCGGAUUUAUUGGGCGUAAAGCGAGCGCAGGCGGUUUCUUAAGUCUGAUGUGAAAGCCCCCGGCUCAACCGGGGAGGGUCAUUGGAAACUGGGAGACUUGAGUGCAGAAGAGGAGAGUGGAAUUCCAUGUGUAGCGGUGAAAUGCGUAGAUAUAUGGAGGAACACCAGUGGCGAAGGCGGCUCUCUGGUCUGUAACUGACGCUGAGGCUCGAAAGCGUGGGGAGCGAACAGGAUUAGAUACCCUGGUAGUCC